AUUCCAGCUCCAAUAGCGUAUAUUAAAGUUGUUGCGGUUAAAAAGCUCGUAGUUGGAGUUCUGCCAGGUGACGCUCGUCCGCCCAAGUGGUGUGUACAGGGCGUGCAUCUGGCCCUUUCAAGGGGAACGUGUCUGCUCUUUAUUGAGUGGUGCGAGAUCCUUGACUUUUACUUUGAGGAAAUCAGAGUGUUCCAAGCAGGCUCUCGUCGUGUAUAGCUCAGCAUGGAAUAAUAGCAUUGGACUUCGUUUCUAAGCUGUUGGUUGCAAGAAGCGACUUAAUGAUUAAUAGGGACAGUCGGGGGCAUUUGUAUUCAAACGACAGAGGUGAAAUUCUUGGACCGUUUGAAGACAAACUACUGCGAAAGCAUUUGCCAAGAAUGGUUUCAUCA
rnacentral:rRNA from 1 species